UCCGAGUUGACCCCGGCAGUCUCCUGCGAGUCCCCAACUUUACUUGCUGGCAACACAGGACAAGGGUUGCGCUCGUUGCGGGACUUAACCCAACAUCUCACGACACGAGCUGACGACAGCCAUGCACCACCUGUACACCAACCACAAGGGGGGCUGUAUCUCUACAGCUUUCUGGUGUAUGUCAAACCCAGGUAAGGUUCUUCGCGUUGCAUCGAAUUAAACCACAUGCUCCGCUGCUUGUGCGGGUCCCCGUCAAUUCCUUUGAGUUUUAGCCUUGCGGCCGUACUCCCCAGGCGGGGCACUUAAUGCGUUAGCUUCGGCACGGAGGGAGUCGACACCCCCCACACCUAGUGCCCAUCGUUUACAGCGUGGACUAC
rnacentral:misc_RNA from 1 species